AGCCCUCUGCAUCCGUGCGGAGAUUUCGUCGACGAUCAACCCACUGGGGCUGAUGCGGCUUCCAAAAUAAGUGAAGCG
rnacentral:pre_miRNA from 1 species